rnacentral:rRNA from 1 species
GAUGAACGCUGGCGGUAUGCUUAACACAUGCAAGUCGAACGGACUCUUCGGAGUUAGUGGCGGACGGGUGAGUAACGCGUGAGAAUCUGGCUUUGGGUUCGGGACAACCACUGGAAACGGUGGCUAAUACCGGAUGUGCCGAGAGGUAAAAGAGAAAUUGCCUGAAGAUGAGCUCGCGUCUGAUUAGCUAGUUGGUGAGGUAAAGGCUCACCAAGGCAGCGAUCAGUAGCUGGUCUGAGAGGAUGACCAGCCACACUGGGACUGAGACACGGCCCAGACUCCUACGGGAGGCAGCAGUAGGGAAUUGUCCGCAAUGGGCGAAAGCCUGACGGAGCAAUACCGCGUGAGGGAAGAAGGCUCUUGGGUUGUAAACCUCUUUUCUUAGGGAAGAACAAAAUGACGGUACCUAAGGAAUCAGCAUCGGCUAACUCCGUG